CAACUUUUAACAACGGAUCUCUUGGUUCUCGCAUCGAUGAAGAACGUAGCAAAGUGCGAUAACUAGUGUGAAUUGCAUAUUCAGUGAAUCAUCGAGUCUUUGAACGCAACUUGCGCUCGAUGGUAUUCCAUCGAGCACGCCUGUUUCAGUAUCAAA
rnacentral:rRNA from 1 species